AAUUAGCCAUAUAUGAGGGUUAAAUUGGCUACAAUUUAAAGUUGAGAAUUUACUUAUAUAUAUUUGGAAGUUUAGAAUUUAAAAGUUAUAUUCUAUUAAAGAAUAGGGACCUUCCUUAGCAAUUUUGAACAAGUGGCAUUUAUAUUCAAACUUUGACCAUUCUUUUCCACAAAAAUCACACACUAACACACACUAAAGUGUGUUGAACGAGAGAAAACGUAGAGAAGAGGAGAAAGGGAAGAAAAGAAAAAGAAAGGAAGAAAAAGAAAAAGAAAAAGGAAAGAAGAAAUCUUGUGCCAACUACUUCAAUCUUGUUUAUUUAAUUCUUCAAGAGGAGGCUGUUGACUAAGCUGUGGUGGAGAUUAUUUUGAUAGUUUUGCAGCCAUUGCUACCACCAAUUCAAAGUCCAGGAAAUGUCAUUCAGAACUUAAUUGUUGUUCAAAGGAACGUGGACACGGCAUCUGAUAAUAAUGCGAUAAGUAACCAUUCCAGCAAUGAUCUGGCAUCUGCUAAGAGAAACAAGCUAUGCGGCAAUUCUGCAAGUAAUUCACAAGUAUCAUAAUUCAAUUCAAUCUAGUAUGUAUCUGCAUGUGUAUGUAUGAUCAAGACAAGUGCAGAUGUGAUAAUGUAACUCAAACUUAAAGCUCCAUUUUUUCUUCUGGGAAAUAUUCCUCCAAGGGCCUACUUUUGCAUCAAA